rnacentral:rRNA from 1 species
UACGAAGGGGGCUAGCGUUGUUCGGAUUUACUGGGCGUAAAGCGCGCGUAGGCGGACGUUUUUUUUAAGUCAGGGGUGAAAUCCCAGGGCUCAACCCUGGAACGGCCUUUGAUACUGGACGUCUGGAGAUCGGGAGAGGUUGGUGGAAUUCCGAGUGUAGAGGUGAAAUUCGUAGAUAUUCGGAGGAACACCAGAAGCGAAGGCGGCCAACUGGCCCGAUACUGACGCUGAGGCGCGAAAGCGUGGGGAGCAAACAGG